GGCUGCAUCCAUGAUGAGAAUCUCCUGUUCCACCACAUUCUAAAGCUGCUGUUCUGGACUGAGAUCUGGUGACUGUGGAGGCCGUUGGAGUCCAGUGAAC